AUGCUGGGCUCGUCUGCAUGCACGCCUUGGAGGCAGAGCGGCCAGCUUCAGGCCUACCGGCUUCAGCAGUUUUUUUAUUUUUUAAAUGUAUUUGUUCGUUCUCUGAGCGCUGGUGCUGCAGGAGGCGGCGCGGCGGAUGUGACUCGCACUGCAGACGAGCCGCAUGCUGCAAACUUUUAUCUCCCGGAUCGCCGGGGCGGUGGAGCGGGGGACCCGGCGGCGCCGCCGCAUCUCCCUCCCCCCGCGUGCCGGGGCCGCAGCCCGUGGCCGAUGGCCACGCGGACAGGCAGCCACGGGUGGGGUGGGGUUGCCGGGGCGCCGCCCUGGACUUCCAGUGCCCCGGGGGCCGCGUCCUGGGGGACUCUGCGGGCGCAGCAGCUCCUCUGCCUCACGUCGUUAUCCUCUCGCCGUGGAAAGUUGUAUGGGAUGGUGCUGAAUGGUAAUUUCUUGGAAGUGUUCAAAGACUGGCUAAAUACUACUAUAAUGGCUAUCUUUUGCCACAAGCAGGCUGAUGUUGCCAUCAGAAGACUGGGUGAAAAAUGUGAUGGCGAGUGUGUGAUUUGUGACUCCUGUGUGUGUCCCUGCACUUUGAUGAUGUGAUGAGUGUAACUAUGGAUCUUACCAGGGGCACCGUGUGAUCCGUGGAGGUCUUGGAGUCUCUGGUGCCUAUUAUUGUAAGGAGUGCACCAUCCAGGAGAAGAACAGAGAUGGCUGCCCAAAGAUUGUCAAUCUGAGGAGCUCUAAGAUCUCUUCUAUGAACGCAAAAAAUAUGGCUUCAAGAAGAGGUGAUUGGUGGGUGGCCCCUUCCUCCCCCCCACAUCAAGCUGCUGCAGCUGCCAGAAAAGAUGCCUACUACUACCAGCAGAAAGGGAGCGGAGCCCAGAGCAUCACCAGGAGUGUCUGCUAGUGUACUGGCACUUGGCCACCUCCUCCUCUCCCUUCACCUAGACACGUGGUAGGGAUGGAAAAGGAUUCUUCACAGAGCACUCUGGCACACUGUAUCAGAGAAAAAUUGAUAGAUUAGUUAAUGGUUUUUCUUGAAUUCGAGAAGCAAAGAUCUGUUCUCUAUAUUGAUAUGUUCUCCCUCAACCAAGAUCUUCUAAAAAGAAGUAAUAUUUUAGUCUUUGCUUGAGGAGUUGACUGUGAAGCUACGCCCAGUGAAAAGUAUGUUCUUGCAGCAGCUCUGGUGGCAGCUGUCCUUGAGGAACCUUCGGUGUGUGGUGGGAAGCUAUCAGAAUAAGAAAUGUAGCCAUUUACUCUUUUAACACUUGUGCUGGUGUCAUGUUAUUUUCCUUCUGAGAAAUUGAAAAUUCUUUCUGUUGUUAUUAUUUUGAUAAAGGUGGUGUUUAUUUUC